AGAAUCAACGCUGGCGGCGUGCCUAACACAUGCAAGUCGAACGAGAAAGUGGAGCAAUCCAUUAGUAAAGUGGCGCACGGGUGAGUAACACGUGACUAACCUACCCUUGAGUGGGGGAUAACCUAGAGAAAUCUGGGCUAAUACCGCAUAAUACCUUCGGGUCAAAGGAGCAAUUCGCUUAAGGAGGGGGUCGCGGCCGAUUAGUUAGUUGGCGGGGUAAUGGCCCACCAAGACUAUGAUCGGUAUCCGGCCUGAGAGGGCGCACGGACACACUGGAACUGAAACACGGUCCAGACUCCUACGGGAGGCAGCAGUGGGGAAUUUGCGCAAUGGGGGAAACCCUGACGCAGCAACGCCGCGUGGAGGAUGAAGCCCCUUGGGGCGUAAACUCCUUUCGAUCGGGACGAUAAUGACGGUACCGAGAGAAGAAGCCCGGCUAACUUCGCGCCAGCAGCCGC
rnacentral:rRNA from 1 species